UGGGGAAUAUUGGACAAUGGGCGCAAGCCUGAUCCAGCCAUGCCGCGUGGGUGAAGAAGGCCUUCGGGUUGUAAAGCCCUUUUGUUGGGGAAGAAAUCGUGCAGGUGAAUAUCCUGCGCGGAUGACGGUACCCAAAGAAUAAGCACCGGCUAACUUCGUGCCAGCAGCCGCGGUAAUACGAAGGGUGAAAGCGUUACUCGGAAUUACUGGGCUUAAAGCGUACGUGGGCGGUUCGUUAAGUCCGUUGUGAGAGCCCUGGGCUCAACCUGGGAAUUGCAGUGGAUACUUGCGAGCUUGAGCACGGUAGAUGAUGGUGUAAGUCCCGGUGUAGCCGUGAAAUGCGUAGAGAUCGUGAGGAACACCCGUGGCGAAGGCGGCCAUCUGGACCAGUACUGACGCUGAGGCACGAAAGCGUGGGGAGCAAACA
rnacentral:rRNA from 1 species